rnacentral:rRNA from 1 species
UUACACAUGCAAGUCGAACGAUGAUGCCAGCUUGCUGGUGGAUUAGUGGCGAACGGGUGAGUAACACGUGAGUAACCUGCCCUUAACUCUGGGAUAAGCCUGGGAAACUGGGUCUAAUACCGGAUAUGACUCCUCAUCGCAUGGUGGGGGGUGGAAAGCUUUUUGUGGUUUUGGAUGGACUCGCGGCCUAUCAGCUUGUUGGUGAGGUAAUGGCUCACCAAGGCGACGACGGGUAGCCGGCCUGAGAGGGUGACCGGCCACACUGGGACUGAGACACGGCCCAGACUCCUACGGGAGGCAGCAGUGGGGAAUAUUGCACAAUGGGCGCAAGCCUGAUGCAGCGACGCCGCGUGAGGGAUGACGGCCUUCGGGUUGUAAACCUCUUUCAGUAGGGAAGAAGCGAAAGUGACGGUACCUGCAGAAGAAGCGCCGGCUAACUACGUGCCAGCAGCCGCGGUAAUACGUAGGGCGCAAGCGUUAUCCGGAAUUAUUGGGCGUAAAGAGCUCGUAGGCGGUUUGUCGCGUCUGCCGUGAAAGUCCGGGGCUCAACUCCGGAUCUGCGGUGGGUACGGGCAGACUAGAGUGAUGUAGGGGAGACUGGAAUUCCUGGUGUAGCGGUGAAAUGCGCAGAUAUCAGGAGGAACACCGAUGGCGAAGGCAGGUCUCUGGGCAUUAACUGACGCUGAGGAGCGAAAGCAUGGGGAGCGAACAGGAUUAGAUACCCUGGUAGUCCAUGCCGUAAACGUUGGGCACUAGGUGUGGGGGACAUUCCACGUUUUCCGCGCCGUAGCUAACGCAUUAAGUGCCCCGCCUGGGGAGUACGGCCGCA